rfam:Rattus norvegicus chromosome 3, whole genome shotgun sequence.
GGGGAUUUGGCUCAGUGGUAGAGCGCUUGCCUAGCAAGCGCAAGGCCCUGGGUUCGAUCCCCAGCUCUG